rnacentral:rRNA from 1 species
UGAGUGGCGGACGGGUGAGUAACGCGUGGGCAACCUGGCCUGUACAGGGGGAUAACACUUAGAAAUAGGUGCUAAUACCGCAUAACGGGGGAAGCCGCAUGGCUUUUCCCUGAAAACUCCGGUGGUACAGGAUGGGCCCGCGUCUGAUUAGCCAGUUGGCAGGGUAACGGCCUACCAAAGCGAGAUCAGUAGCCGGCCUGAGAGGGCGGACGGCCACACUGGGACUGAGACACGGCCCAGACUCCUACGGAAGGCAGCAG